rnacentral:rRNA from 1 species
ACGAACGCUGGCGGCGUGCUUAACACAUGCAAGUCGAACGGAAAGGCCCUGCUUUUGUGGGGUGCUCGCGUGGCGAACGGGUGAGUAACACGUGAGUAACCUGCCCUUGACUUUGGGAUAACUUCAGGAAACUGGGGCUAAUACCGGAUAGGAGCUCCUGCUGCCUGGUGGGGGUUGGAAAGUUUCGGCGGUUGGGGAUGGACUCGCGGCUUAUCAGCUUGUUGGUGGGGUAGUGGCUUACCAAGGCUUUGACGGGUAGCCGGCCUGAGAGGGUGACCGGCCACAUUGGGACUGAGAUACGGCCCAGACUCCUACGGGAGGCAGCAGUGGGGAAUAUUGCACAAUGGGCGGAAGCCUGGUGCAGCAACGCCGCGUGCGGGAUGACGGCCUUCGGGUUGUAAACCGCUUUCGCCUGUGACGAAGCGUGAGUGACGGUAAUGGGUAAAGAAGCACCGGCUAACUACGUG